UACAGAGGGUGCAAGCGUUAAUCGGAAUUACUGGGCGUAAAGCGUGCGUAGUCGGUUAUUUAAGUCGGGCGUGAAAGCCCCGGGCUCAACCUGGGAAUUGCGUCCGAUACUGGUGGGCUUGAAUCCGGGAGAGGGAUGCGGAAUUCCAGGUGUAGCGGUGAAAUGCGUAGAUAUCUGGAGGAACACCGGUGGCGAAGGCGGCAUCCUGGACCGGUAUUGACGCUGAGGCGCGAAAGCCAGGGGAGCAAACGGG
rnacentral:rRNA from 1 species